UACGUAGGCAGCAAGCGUUUGUUCGGAGUUACUGGGCGUAAAGGGUGCGUAGGCGGCCCUGUAAGUAUGGUGUGAAAUCUCCCGGCUUAACUGGGAGGGUGCGCUAUAGACUGCGGGGCUCGAGUGUGGGGAGAGGAAAGUGGAAUUCCUGGUGUAGCGGUGAAAUGCGUAGAUAUCAGGAGGAACACCGGUGGUGUAAACGGCUUUCUGGACCAUAAACUGACGCUGAGGCACGAAAAGCGUGGGUAGCAAACAGG
rnacentral:rRNA from 1 species